rnacentral:hammerhead_ribozyme from 1 species
GUUCAGCUAACGAGUUCCGAAUAGGACGAAACGCGUGUCUUAGAU